ACCUAGUCCUUAUCUAACCUUAUCUGAAGUACUGGGCCUCAAUAUCCACAAAUGGCAUUUUCUCACAACUCCUUAAAUGUGGAAAAAUAAUGCUAAUUACCUAUGUUUUGUGGAUUUAAAUAUGAGUACGGUUCUAAAAAACUGAUAUUCUAGAUAUCUUGAAUAUCGGAACACUGUGUAGGUCUUUUCCAAAAGUGCGUGGAUAUAAUCUAUGGGGAUACUAAGAUUGUAAGACUGAGCAGAGUUUUGUAUGAACAUCAGCAUGGAUUCUAUAAGUGUUGAGAAAGAGGCAAUAGAAAAAAUGAAAGGGUGUGGGGAUUUGCACAAAACAAUUAAACUUGUGCCAUCAGAUGCUGAAGAAAGGAAAAGACAGAUCAGUGAAGAAGUAGCUAAACUGCUGGAGCUAAAGGCCAAACUAGGAGAUGAUUCUCAGAAGACCAAAUUUGUCCUCAAAUGUCCCAAAGGGACGAGAGAUUAUAACCCACAACAAAUGGCUAUCAGGGAGGGGGUGUUCAACACAAUCAUCAAGUGCUUCAAACGUCACGGAGCAGAAACCAUUGACACUCCCGUCUUUGAGCUCAAGGAAACCUUGACAGGGAAAUAUGGAGAAGAUUCCAAGUUAAUCUAUGACUUAAAGGAUCAAGGGGGAGAACUCUUAUCACUGCGAUAUGACUUAACCGUAUCCUUAUGAAGUAAUUCAAGUUGAAAUAGGCAACAUUUAAUAAUAAUGUGACUUUUUGGUAUAACAAGUAAAAAUUGCAUUCGGUAAUGUUAUUCGGUAAAUUUGUUUGGAAUUUGCCUAAUCGACAAGUGGAUAUUUAAGUUAAAGUUUCUUAAUGCUAUUAGGUUCCUUUUGCGAGAUAUCUUGCAAUGAAUAAGAUUCAAAAUGUCAAACGUUAUCACAUUGCCAAAGUGUACAGGAGAGAUAACCCAGCCAUGACCAGAGGAAGAUUCAGGGAAUUUUAUCAGUGUGAUUUUGACAUUGCGGGUCAAUACGAUGCUAUGAUUCCUGAUGCAGAGUGUGUUAAACUUGUGUCAGAAAUCUUAAACCAGUUGGACCUUGGGGAAUACAUUAUAAAGAUAAACCACAGGAAGGUCCUGGACGGGAUGUUUGCGGCCUGCGGAGUCCCGGACGACAAGUUUAGGGGAGCCUGUUCAGCUGUGGACAAGCUAGAUAAGACAUUUUGGGAUGAUGUCAGAGCAGAAAUGAUUCAGGAAAAGGGAAUUGACCCAAUAGCUGUAGAUAAGAUAGGAAAAUAUGUAGAAUUGAAAGGUAGGACUGAGCUGAUUGACAAACUUUUAGAAGAUGAAGCCAUGAAAGCUCAGAAAUCUGCCGUGGAGGGAUUAGAGGAUUUACGAGUCCUGUUUAAAUAUCUUGAAUUGUAUGGAAUAACAGACAAGGUUGUUUUUGACUUGAGUCUUGCCAGAGGACUUGACUACUAUACAGGUGUCAUAUAUGAAGCUAUUUUGCAAGGUUUUGCCCACAAUCCCAAGGCUGGUGCUGAUGGGGAUGAGAGCGUGAGUGUUGGCAGUGUGGCAGGUGGUGGGCGAUACGAUGGGCUCGUGGGCAUGUUCGAUUCUAAAGGAAAGAAAGUGCCAUGUGUAGGCGUGAGCAUCGGAGUGGAAAGGGUCUUUGCCAUCAUGGAAUCUCGAGCCCUGGCUUCAAACACGAAGACAAGGACAACAGAAACUGAAGUUUAUGUCGUCUCUGCCCAGAAAAAUCUGGUGGAGGAGAGGAUGAAGAUUUGUAAAGAAUUAUGGGAUGCAGACAUAAAGACUGAACAGUCCUACAAGAGGAAUCCAAAGGCUUUGGAUCAGUUCCAGUAUUGUGAGACCAACUCCAUUCCCAUUGCAAUCAUCAUUGGGGGUUCUGAAAUCGAGAUGGGAGUUGUCACACUAAGGAUAGUAGGAUCCCGAGAGGAGAGAACAGUUCAAAGGGAAAAGAUGGUGGAAGAAAUUAAAUCUGUCUUGGCAAAUUUGAAUUGACCACAGAUGUGCAAUGAUAGAGAACAUUAAUAUUUAUUUCUGAGUACAAUGUACUGCUUUAUUUGUCCUAUUUGUCUCUUUGAUGUAAAGAAACAAAACAUUGUGAUUCAUUAGACAUUUGAUUUAAAUCCACUUCAUUCAGUGGUGACAGAUUUUCAGACCUCUUAUUAAAAGUGUGGAUAUUUCAGGUCUUUUAAAUGUAUAAUUUUUUUUUCAUCUUGAAAUUGAAACUUGCUGCUAAAUAAAAGAAAUGAAGUGUACAGUG
rnacentral:misc_RNA from 1 species